rnacentral:rRNA from 1 species
CCUACGGGAGGCAGCAGUGAGGAAUAUUGGACAAUGGGCGCAAGCCUGAUCCAGCCAUGCCGCGUGCAGGAUGACGGUCCUAUGGAUUGUAAACUGCUUUUAUACGAGAAGAAACACUCCGACGUGUCGGAGCUUGACGGUAUCGUAAGAAUAAGGAUCGGCUAACUCCGUGCCAGCAGCCGCGGUAAUACGGAGGAUCCAAGCGUUAUCCGGAAUCAUUGGGUUUAAAGGGUCCGUAGGCGGUUUAAUAAGUCAGUGGUGAAAGCCCAUCGCUCAACGGUGGAACGGCCAUUGAUACUGUUAAACUUGAAUUAUUAGGAAGUAACUAGAAUAUGUAGUGUAGCGGUGAAAUGCUUAGAGAUUGCAUGGAAUACCAAUUGCGAAGGCAGGUUACUACUAAUUGAUUGACGCUGAUGGACGAAAGCGUGGGUAGCGAACAGGAUUAGAUACCCUGGUAGUCCACGCCGUAAACGAUGGAUACUAGCUGUUGGGAGCAAUCUCAGUGGCUAAGCGAAAAGUGAUAAGUAUCCCACCUGGGGAAGUACGUUCGCAAGAAAUUGAAACUCAAAUUGAAUUGACGGG